CUCUAGAAGGAAUUCCAUUCCACCUGGGGAAGGACACCUAGUUUACGUAUUUGACCUACAGAAAAAUUUCUCUGCAACUCUUCCAAAUGCUAGUAAAAAACUCCACCCAGUCAGCCUCCCACAACCCACAACCCCUCCCCUUAACCAUCUUCUCCUCCCCACUAUCACCACCCUACCUUGUGCAUUCCUUCGUAAACUUACUUGUCAUCACCUUCAAGGUUCCACUCCCCUCUUGCCUGCAUCUGUUUUCAUAUCCUCCCACUCCCCCAAUUCCUGCCAAGAAGCCCCGCUAGCUGCCUGUUGCAUAACGGCUCCCCCAUUCCGUCUCCCUCGGCAGUCGGCCCCGCUCCGGCGAGCAGGAAUGCCCCUUUCGGCCUGGCUCCUCCUCCCUUCCGCAACACGCCCAGCGAGUCCCCGCGACGCAGCUCCAGCGGGGAUUCUCCAAGCGAGGCGGGUUGUCCUUCCCGGCCGGCACCUCGGGUAGCGAGCCCCGAGGGCAGAGGAGCCGGCUCCACCCUGCCUGGCCCCGAGCCCUCCGCGGCGCCGGCAAAUCGCCGCCGCCAUCCUCCCGCUGAGGUGAUGUCUUCAGGUGUCCGGAAGGGGAGAAAGCCCUGCGUACGUCCAGCCCCGCUCCUGUGCCAAGAGCCGGCGGCCCUCCGAGCCCUCCGGAGCCGGCCUCCGGGCCCCGAGCGCGUCCGCUUGCCCGCUUGCCCGCUCGCUCGUCCAUCCGCCCCCUCACCUUCAGGACCCGGAUCCCUCCCGGCCGGCGGCUCGCGGGCGCUUCGGGCGGCUCCGGGGGCUCCAGCGGGCCCGCGGGCCCGGGCUCCACCUCCCCCAUCGGCGACCCAGGCUGCACAGAGACGCCCGGCCCGCGCGACGGCGUGCGGAACCUCGGCGGCGCGCGCGAGCAGCCGGUGGCCCCGCCCCCCGCGGCCCGCCGGCUCCGCCCCUCCGGCGGCUCGCCAGCUCCGCCCUUCCCGCAGCCCGGCUGGACCUAAGUAGCUGCGGGCGCCGAGUGGCCCCGGGGCCGCCGAGCCGCAUCCCGGCCGCGGCCCGCGUGGCGGAACCUGGCACCACCGCAGGGCGCAGGGCCUCCACUGCCCGCUGCCCUAGCCUUGGAGGACUAGAGCGCAAGGAGGGGUAUUUGCUGCUUUCCCCGCCCUCAAAGAAACCCGCGGGAGGAAGAAGCAGGUGGCGCCGGCACCUGUCAAUUGUGACAGGACGCUGCCCUCCGCCCAGGUUGGCUGUUGUAACUUCCCUCACUUGCCAAGCCGUUGAACGAACUGUUGAGAAUGCUCACCUUGGCAAGGCCUUUUCUGUGCCUUAUCAGAGAUGCGUGCGACCUUCUUAAGCAAAUUCAACCCAACCUCGUACAAAACGUCCGCUCACCUCCCAGCCAUGUUUUAAUUCCCUUGCCUCCUCCUGGAGCAAAAUUAUCAGAAUUCGGUGCUCUGCUUCAAGCAGUAAUAUGGCCUGUGACCCGGUUUAUGAUUUAUUUGCAAGGCUGAUUCAGAAAAACCUUUUAAAAGUUAACGUCUUUUCUUUCUGUUUUUUUUUUUUUUUCUUUUCGUUCUCGCAGUGAUAGUAGUUUUGUGGCCAAUGGGCCAAAUUUGGAGUCAGCCAGCCUGAUUCCAGAUCUCCCCUCUGCCCUUCUUUAGAUCUAUACCCCUGUGCAAGUUACUUGAUCUAAGCCUUUCGUUCUUAAGCUGUGAGAAAGAGAUUAAAAUCUUCCAAGUUGUUAUGAUGAAGAUUUAGUGCAUAAAAAGUGCCUAACGUAUAGUGGGGAUUCAUAGUAGCCAUUAUAAUUCCAAAAUUCUAAAUUGAAGAUCCAAUCGGUUUCUCGGAAAGUACUCUGUUGAUUCCUCCUAAAUUUUCCUAGGAAGGCUUCUAGACUUGCAGAUUUUUAGGGCUUCCCCUGGUACAUAGGGUGUUGAAUCUUCAAGCAACUUAUAAGGAAUUUGACAGCAAAAAAGAGUAAUUUCUUCACUUUUGAAGAACUGUAAUUCCAGUACUUUAGGAAGCCAAGGCAGGCAGAUUACUUGAGGCCAGGAGUUCGAGACCAGCCUGACCAACAUAGCGAAACCGUGUCUAUACCAAAAAUACAAAAAAAUGAGCUGAGCAGGGUGGCGCUCGCCUGUAAUCCCAGCCACUUGGGAGGUGGAGGCAGGAGAAUCGCUUGAACCCGGGAGGCGGAGGUUGCAGUGAGCCGAGAUCGUGCCACUGCACUCCAGCCUGGGUGACAAAGCGGGACCCUUUGUCUCUAUUAUCCAUUGCUUCAGUUUGCCUCAUUCAGACUAACUGUAUGUCUAGAAUAAUUGCAGGCUUAGUACAAGACUUUUAGAUUUAACAGGGCAGUCUGUGUCCCCCAUCUGAGAUAUGUAUCCAUUUGGAGAUAUUUUAAUGCCAGGACCAAAUUUGGCUCUUGCAGGUUCCGACCCCUUUCUGACCUACUUUCUCCCUUCACGAGUUAGCUUUGUAUAUACCAAAAUUCCAGUCUCCAGUAAUCUUCAUUUCUUGGCCUCAUUUUAAUGCAUUAAAAACGAUUUGUCACUGUGAGUCUGGUUUAAAGGGGGAGAAAACUCUUAGGUCAUCCACCUCCUGGAUUGUCCUUCCACCUUGAAAUUAUUUUCAGGAAAGGUACUCAAAGUAGUUGGAUUCCCAUUUCAGUGCUUACUGGGUAAUUUCUCCCAACAAGAAAACAGGUAUGUAAGCAAUAGGCACCAAUAUGGAGACAGAAGCAAAUUUUACCAAGGGCAGGCAAGCAGUGAUAAGAAAAAAAUGUGGUUUAGAACAAGUGUUUCUGGCUGGGUGCAGUGGCUCAUGCCUGUAAUUCAGCACUUUGGGAGGCGAAGACGGGCAGAUCACCUGAGGUCAGGAGUUCGAACCCAGCCUGGCCAACAUGGCAAAACUCCAUCUCUACUAAAAAUACAAAAAUUAGGCGGCAUGGGGGCGCGAGCCUGUAGGCCCAGCUACUCAGGAGGCUGAGGCAGGAGAAUCACUUGAACCUGGGAGGUGGAGGUUGGCAGUGAGCAGAGAUAUCGCGCCACUGCACUGCAGUCCAGGUGACAGAGGGAGACUCCAUCUCAAGAAAAAAAAAAGUGUUUCUAAAAAGGCUUUUAUAUUUUUUUAUUUUUGAGACAGGGUCUCGCUUUUUUGCUCAGGCUGGGGUACAGUAUGGGCACAAUCAUAGCUCACUGCAGGUUCAACCUCCAUGGGCUCAGGUGAUCCUCCCACGUCAGCCUCCCAGUAGCUGGGACCACAAGUGAGGGCCACCCUACGCUUGGCUAUUUUUUGCAUUUUUUUGUAGAGAUGGGGCUUCACCAUAUUGUGCAAGCUGGUCUCAAACUCCUGAGCCAUCCGCCCACUUCAGCCUCCCAAAAUGCUGGUAUUACAGGUGUGAGCCACCACGCCUGACUGUAAGAGUCUGUUUCUUGAGGUAUUAUACAUUACCUUUUCCGGAUUUCAUGAGUAGAAGCUCUUUAUUGACUGACUACACAAAAAGGAAAGAUCUUGUUCCAGAACUGAAGUUUAAGCUCAUGCUGAGGAACAACAGUGGUGAAUAAUUGUUUAAUUAAAGGGAUAGUGGGCAAAAGCAUUACUAUUUACUCCUUCAUUCUGGCAACAGUAGUUCCUCUUUCAAAAGGGAAAACAUAAAAAAAAAACCCAUCCGUCCAAAAGUUUCAGGGGCUAAUUUAUGAUGUAACUACCUUUAAUGGUUCCCAUGAUUUAAGAUCCAAUUUAGUAGUGACAACCAGUUGAUUUUUUUCAAAUCAUGUAGUGCCAUUAACAUUUUAUACUUUGUUUCAAAGGUCACAUAUUGAUGUUCUCCCCCAGUUCAAGGCAGUGUGCAUUAUGUAUGCCAAGGGUUAUGUAACUACAAUUUCUGGAAAUGGUAAACAGCUGAGACUAACCCUGAAAAUAAAUUCCUCUGGGAUUUUUUUGUGCGAAAAUCCAUCUGCCCUCACUGCAGGUUCAUCAUUACAAAAAUCACUGUUUAGCUCAAACCAAGAGACAGAGAAGUCAUCAGGAUCUCUCCUUUCUGUCUCCUUCCUAUAGCAGCUGUGCUUCCCCUCUCUGGUAUGUACACACGCACACACAUUCUUUAUGCCAGGAGCUUUUCCAGAUCUUCACUACAAAAUGGGAAGUCUGGAGAAGGGAAGCUCGUGCCUAUCAGAUGUUGGGAGAGGAAGCAGGUAAGACUUAUAUUUACUUAUUUAUAUCUAGUACCCACUCCAGUGAUCCACAAAGUCAUCUUUGGGCCUAAAUCCCUUGUUAUUCUACCAAUAGGUUGAGCAGAUUUGGAUAUUCCUAAUUUUGGUUCCAAAUAAACAGGCAGUGUUUACCUAGCUUCAAAGUUUGGAGAACUUUUCUGUGAACAUUUUGAUAUUUUUCAAAUAUGGGGACAAUUGAAUUGGGGAGAAGACAUAGGAUAGAAAACCCUUAAAAGUGACAAAAAUUAAUUUAGUGCUUCUGAAUUGAAAUUCAGAUCUGAAUACUAUUUGUUGUAUUGUUAAAUAAAUGUCUAUUACUGGCUAAACUUUUCUAUUGCAGCUUUUAUAUUUUCCUCUAAUUACAUGAAGGUGCCAACUAAAUUUAAUAUUAGAAACAACUAUGAAUUUUAACUAACUCAUACAUAAGAUUAUAGAGAUGUUGCUUAUCAGACAGUACCAAAGGGCACUUCUGCAUAAACUAGAUAACUGCCAGGGCCUACACCCUUCCCCUUUUCAAUCGGGACUAUCACACCCUCCCCCUUCUCAAUCAAGGGACUGUCAGGGAUCAUAAGAGUAACGGAAAACCUAAAGCUUCCAACCUCCAAAACACAGAGUUGACAGCCAGGCACAGUGAUUAUGCCUGUAAUCCCAGAACUUUGGGAGGCAGAGGCUAGUGCAUCACUUGAGCCCAGGAGUUUGAGACCAGCUUGGGCAACAUAGUGAGACCCUGUCUCUACCAAAGAAAAAAAAAUACAAAAAUUAGCCAGGCAUGGUGGUGCACGCCAGUAGUCCCAGCUACUAGAACGGCUGAGGUGGGAGGAUUGCCUGAACCAGGGAAGUCAAGGCUGAAGUGAUCGGUGAUCACACCACUGCAUUCCAGCUGGAUGACACAGCGAGACUCUGUCUUAAAAAAAAGCCAGGUGCAGUGGCUUACGCCUGUAAUCCCAGCACUUUGGGAGGUUGAGGCAAGAGGAUUGCUUGAGGCCAAGAGUUCACGACCAGCCUAGGCAACAUAGCAAGACCACAUCCCUACAAAAAUUAAUAUAUAUAAAAUACACAGUUCAUAUAAAAUAGACCAUGAAAUAUAACUCAUUUUGACUGGUCAAGCCUUCCUCUGCCCAGUCACAGAUAUACUUGAACAAUUCACAAAAAGCAGCUUAUAAAGAAAACUCAUAACCACCCUUAAUAUACAUUUCAUCUUGAUUUCUCUGCCUUGAGAAUUGGCCUAUGGAGAAGAUUAAGCAUGAAAUUAAUCAUAUUAUAGUUAAAAUGUCCAAUUGCACUUAGGACUUUUUCACUGUCUAUAACACAAGUUUGUUGUUUUGUUGUUGUUUUUGAGACGAAGUUUCACUCUUGUCACCCCAGGCUGGAGUGCAAUGGUGUGAUCUCCGCUCACUGUAACCUCCACCUCCUGGGUUCAAGCAAUUCUCCUGCCUCAGCCUCCCGAGUAGCUGGGAUUACAGGCAUGCGCCACCAUGCCUGGCUAAUUUUGUAUUUUCAGUAGAGACAGGGAUUCUCCACGUUGAUCAGGCUGGUCUCAAACUCCCAACCUCAGGUGAUCUGCCCGCCUCGGCCUCCCAAAGUGCUGGGAUUACAGGUGUGAGCCACCGUGUCUGGCUACCACCCCAAGUUUUUAAGUGGUUCAAAUGCCUUUCUUGGUGAGACUUAUGUGUAAAAGAAUUACUAACAGGUCAGUAAGUUUAGCUUAACCUCUGGAAUAAGAAUUCAUCUAAGUCUUCUAAUCCAAUUGUAAGAAGCAAGGAAGCAAAUUUUAAAUCAUUGGGUAUUGACUUUUUAUUAUUAGUCACUGUUCAUAAUUUUUUCAACCAAAAGACAAUACACACAGCAGAAUUCUAAUGCAUCCCAUGUAAAUGUUUACAUCCAUUUUAUUCCUCACUCGCCUCUAAGACUUAUCAUUUAACUUUAAAUUUUUUUUUUACAUCUCAAAAAUAUGUCUGCAAUAAUUAGAGCUUCAUUAGCUGUCCCACUUGGAAACAGCUUUUUAAUAUUUUUACAGUAAAGAAGAUGUGAUGGGGCAUAAUCAAGAUGUAACCUACAACACUAUGAAAGAAAAGGGCCUUUAUAGGAACACCGUGGGAGUUCAUAAAGGAAACAGUUCAGAAGCUCUUUCCCAUGGGGCCCCCAAAUAGAAAACAAAAACAAAACACACAAAGCGCAACUGCAGGUUGAGGGGAAAAAAAAAAAAAAAAAAAAAAAACCAACUCCAAUGCUCCAUCUUGAAGCCAGAAUCAGCCUCUUGGAAGUCUGUAAAGCAACUGUGCAAGCUGCUUCAGCAUUUCCUUCUGUUAAAGUGUUCCAGUCCUGGAACCCUGUCGAUGGGACCCACUCACUGAUAUUGCUUGAAAAAGUUACUCACUUCCAGUUCUACAAGCAGCCCCACCCUCCCGAGCCAAAGCUGGUCAAAAGUGUUUUAAACUUCAGGACUUUCUGUGCAAUUCUCUCUCCAAUGAUCCUCCCCACUCCCAAAGUCAUGAAUACACAGACAUGUAAAACCACUCUCCCAACCACAAAGUUCAUGAACACCCACUUUUUCCUCUCUAGUUUUCUCAGUUUAGGACACUGUGGUUAAAAUACAUUCACUAGAAAAAAAUACACACAUUCAAACUCCUUUCCCCUAGUUCUCAUGGCCCAAAUAUUUUCCAAUGCAGAAGAUAAUGAAGUUGAACCUUGAAAGCAGUACUCCCUAACUUCCAAUCUCUUCUACGACACAAAAAAAAUUGGAAGCAUGUUAUAUAAACCAUUAGUGUUGGACAGUUUUAAAAGUCUAUUUUCAUAUAUGAAUGAGACAAACAAGGAGUAUGAAUCACACCUUUAAACUAGCAAGAGGAAAGAAUCCCCUCCCAAAUGUUACACUGAGGAAUGUUUCUUUAAAUGAGAAAGACCUUAAAAUUAACAAAUGAUCACUAUGCACAGCCUAAAACUUCCGUGACUGUCCAAACCACCUCAAGGUAACAGCACCAAAGCACUGUGGGAGAAGCUUCUCAGGGAGAGCACCCUUCCUACAGUUUUUUGAGAUUACUUAGAUGAAUUAAUUCUCCCUUAGGAUUCUCCGGGAUGGGGCAGAGACUAGAAUAGAAUCGACUCUUGAAGAGGGAAAUAAUGAGGUACAAGUGCACGUGAAAUUGUCAAAGUAAGUGUAUGAGGGCUCACUGCUUAUCACCCCAGGGUUAUCAAAACAGCCUUGGAAAAUGCUCUUUCCUCACAAUGCCUCUGAAGUUGUAAAUCCAUCCAAAUUUGCUCCCCCUUGAAUGGUUAUACUCGGGAAAGGAAUUAUUGAAAUGUGCAAGUAUUCAAAGAAAUUGAAACAUUUCUCCAUUUAGCUGCAAGGCCAAGUGAGAGGAAAACUAAUUCUGAUCCUAGAAACUAAGGCACGCUGAAGCUUUCAAAGAUCCAGUCAUUUGAAACAGUCUUCACAACCAUCAGUAUCCUAGGCAGUUAUUUGGCUGCUAGUCCUUCAGUAUGGUGCUUGUGUUCAGAUUCCAAAAUCAAUUCAUAUUCUACGCAGCACCCUUUGUGUUAAGGCCAUGAUAUUUUACUCCUUCUAGACAAAGCUAUGAAUGAUCAUAAACUCUACCUCAAAACUAUGAUCACCCAAGGAAAUGCUCUGUCAGCAGAGUAGACCCUUCCCAGCUCCAUUAGCUGACAGUGUCUUAUAGCAUGGUCUUGAACAGAUUUCUUCAGAGAUUCAACCCAGUUCAAAUAAAAAAACCUGAGCUGGUUAGCUACAAAUAUAAGAGAGAAAAUAAAGCCUCUACGCAAAGAGGAAUGUUAAGACAAAUUCUAUUCAAGAAAUCCACCAACAUUAUGUUAAUCCUAUCAUGUUUCACAGCAUUAAGUAUCCAUCCAAUGAAAUCAGUCUGCAAAGAAACCCUUAAAGGCUAUUUUUCAUUGCACAGGCAGAGCAGUUGUCUGAAAUAUGCACUAGUCCACACUUACAUUACUGAAAACUAUGCAGGAGAUAAUAUCCUGUUCUUGACUCAGUCAACCAUUUACCCAGUGGAGUAAGUUUUAGCAGAUCUUGCUCAUACACACUAGUAAGACCAGAAACUUUCCCCUGUGGAGCCUUUAGUUCAACUCCAGUUUGUCAAAUGUUCGGAAUAGUCCAGCAUCUGAUACAGAGCUAGAUUUGACAAGACACUGAAGAUUUUAAGUAAAGGCUUGGUGAAAUGAAGGGGACAGAAAGGGAUAUUUGUUUCCAGGUUUAAGAUUGAAGCGAUAGUAGUCAUUAUACUGUAUUCAAUACAGUAACAAUUGCAAACAUUGUAAGAGCAAGGUGGGCCUCACUUUUUCUUUCUUCAGUAUAUAAGACAUGGCACCUGAAUACUUGAACAUACAUAGUACAUUCAAUGUGUACCACAGAGAGAGUCACCUCUACUUCAUUCCAGCAACUCAAUUUCAAAGUUUGAUAACACAUGGGUCCUUUCUAAAAAGCACUUGGCACUCUCACUAGUUUAAAAAGCUCAAGUCUUUGAUGUGAAUAUUCAUGAGAUUCGUCUUUUAAAAAAGACCAAUUUCUCAGACUGAGGAAUUCUACCCUAUGGUCUCCGUAAGACCUCCUCUGACAUAGGGGUACGGAAGCUACAAGGCUUCACUCCAACACCAUAAAGUACAAUAUGGAAAGAUUUCUUUAACCGUGUGGUCUUUAUUUCAGUGCCAGUGUUACAGAUACAACACAAAUGUUCCAGUUAGAAGGAAUUCAAACGGAAUGCCAAGGUCCAAGCCAGGCUCAAGAAAUAAAAAGGGAGGUUUGGAGUAACAGGUGACUCCAAUACUCACUCUUCCUAAGGGCAAAGGUACUUUUGAUACAGAGUCUGAUCUUUAAAACUGGUGAACUCCUCUUCCACCCAUUACCAUAGUUCAAACAGGCAAGUUAUGGGCUUAGGAGCACUUUAAAAUUUGUGGUGGGAAUAGGGUCAUUAAUAACUAUGAAUGUAUCUUUUAGAAGGUGACCAUUUUGCAUUUUAAAGGGAAUCAAUUUUGAAAAUCAUGGAGACUAUUCAUGACUACAGCUAAAGAAUGGAGAAAAAGGGGAGCUGGAAGAGCCUUGGAAGUUUCUAUUACAAAUAGAGCACCAUAUCCUUCAUGCCAAAUCUCAACAAAAGCUCUUUUUAACUCCAUCUGUCCAGUGUUUACAAAUAAACUCGCAAGGUCUGACCAGUUCUUGAUAACAAA